rnacentral:rRNA from 1 species
AUACGUAGGGGGCAAGCGUUGUCCGGAAUUAUUGGGCGUAAAGGGCGCGUAGGCGGCCUUAAAAGUCUGAUGUGAAAGUGCGGGGCUCAACCCCGUAAAGCAUUGGAAACUGUAGGGCUUGAGUGCAGGAGAGGAAAGUGGAAUUCCUAGUGUAGCGGUGAAAUGCGUAGAUAUUAGGAGGAACACCAGUGGCGAAGGCGACUUUCUGGACUGUAACUGACGCUGAGGCGCGAAAGCGUGGGUAGCGAACAGGAUUAGAUACCCUGGUAGUCCACGCCGUAAACGAUGAGUGCUAGGUGUAGAGGGUAUCGACCCCUUCUGUGCCGCAGUAAACACAAUAAGCACUCCGCCUGGGGAGUACGGCCGCAAGGCUGAA